ACCCGUGUUUAUUGUACCUUGUUGCUUCGGCGGGCCCGCCUUUAUGGCCGCCGGGGGGCUUACGCUCCCGGGCCCGCGCCCGCCGAAGACACCCUCGAACUCUGUCUGAAGAUUGUAGUCUGAGUGGAAUUAUAAAUUAUUUAAAACUUUCAACAACGGAUCUCUUGGUUCCGGCAUCGAUGAAGAACGCAGCGAAAUGCGAUACGUAAUGUGAAUUGCAGAAUUCAGUGAAUCAUCGAGUCUUUGAACGCACAUUGCGCCCCCUGGUAUUCCGGGGGGCAUGCCUGUCCGAGCGUCAUUGCUGCCCUCAAGCACGGCUUGUGUGUUGGGCCCCGUCCUCCGAUCCCGGGGGACGGGCCCGAAAGGCAGCGGCGGCACCGCGUCCGGUCCUCGAGCGUAUGGGGCUUUGUCACCCGCUCUGUAGGCCCGGCCGGCGCUUGCCGAUCAACCACAUUUUUUCG
rnacentral:rRNA from 1 species